GUCUGAGAGGAUGAUCAGCCACACUGGAACUGAGACACGGUCCAGACUCCUACGGGAGGCAGCAGUGGGGAAUAUUGCGCAAUGGGCGAAAGCCUGACGCAGCCACGCCGCGUGAGCGAUGAAGGUCUUCGGAUCGUAAAGCUCUGUGGGGGGAGAAGAAGAAAGUCGGUGAAGAGCCGGCCCUGACGGUAUCCCCUUAGCAAGCACCGGCUAACUCCGUGCCAGCAGCCGCGGUAAUACGGAGGGUGCAAACGUUGCUCGGAAUCAUUGGGCGUAAAGCGCGCGUAGGCGGCUGAACAAGUUGGAUGUGAAAGCCCUGGGCUCAACCUAGGAUGUGCAUUCAAAACUGUUCGGCUUGAGUCUCGGAGGGGGUCAGAGAAUCUCGGUGUAGAGGUGAAAUUCGUAGAUAUCGGGAGGAACACCAGUGGCGAAGGCGCUGACCUGGACGAUGACUGACGCUGAGGCGCGAAAGC
rnacentral:rRNA from 1 species